AGCUCCAAUAGCGUAUAUUAAAGUUGUUGCAGUUAAAAAGCUCGUAGUCGGAUUUCAGGGCGGGGCUGCCGGUCUGCCGAUGGGUAUGCACUGGUGGGCUCGUUCUUCCUUCUGGGGACUGCGCCUACUCUUGACUGAGCGGGCGUAGGAAACAGGACUUUUACUUUGAAAAAUCAGAGUGUUUAAAGCAGGCCAAGAUGCUCUUGCAUGGAUUAGCAUGGGAUAAUGGAAUAGGACUUUGGUGCUAUUUUGUUGGUUUCGAACACCGAAGUAAUGAUUAAUAGGGACAGUCAGGGGCACUCGUAUUCCGUUGAGAGAGGUGAAAUUCUUAGACCAAUGGAAGACGAACUUCUGCGAAAGCAUUUGCCAGGGAUGUUUUCACUGAUCAAGAACGAAAGU
rnacentral:rRNA from 1 species